rnacentral:lncRNA from 1 species
GGGGGAUAGUUAUUUUAAGAGUAUCAAAAAACAUAGUAGUAAGAGUAAGAAUAAACGCAGAUUUAAUUUUAACAGCUCUACCACAAUGGUGUACACAAUACCUUACAUUUUAAAAGAGCUUACCAUACCCAAAAGAAAAGAAGAGAAGCAAGAAAUAUGUCUUUUGUGUGUACAGUGGCUUACACAGAAUGAUUAUCAUUUGCUCUCUGGAAAUGAACUCCAUCUUGGCCUUAAAUUCUUAUAUUUCUUCACAGACUUGAAAUGCCAGUUGAAGGCAUUCAGAAAUUUAAAGGAACUGAUUUAACAACCUUGGACAAAAAGAACAUGUCUGAAAGUUUGUCUCAAUGUUUGACUUGACCUAGGAGAGUUUCUCUGAGACUUAUUUUCUAAACAGUACCCUAGCACCUUGGGCCAGCAAAAUGGCCUUUAAGCUUGAAUGAACAAGGUAUUUCUUUUCCUCUAGUGCAAAGCUUCACUAUUUCAUCUUUUCAAACUCUUUUACUGCACUCAGUGGGGAAUUAUAUUGACAAGGGUAGAAUUUAUCUCCUAGAGGAGAAUGCUAUGCUUCUGUUAAGUGCUAAUAUAACAUUUAUGUGUUGGUACCUUAAUAACAGCCCCAGCUUACCUAAUGAAAGUUGAAAGCAAACAGUACUCUCUGAGAUUUUAUUAUGACUGAAGUGACUGCAAUUUGAGGCAAAUUAUCCCUAUUUUUGUUCCCAUAUCAAAAACAGAGAUGCUAAAGCAAUUGCUACAUGUUUGGUAUGGAAUUAGGUUCCACUCUCAUUAAUCUACAAGGAAGAGCAUUUUUCAUGUAAACAGCUCACGAGGGUCAGAGAGAAGAGCUGUUUCUGUGAAAAAUGCUUGUCAAUAACUUUGUGAGUGAAUUUUGAAAUAAAGUGCCUGUAACCUGUCAUUAUUCCUUCCUCUCAAAGUCAGGAGUGAGUGGAUGAAAAUUGAGCAUGUGAAUUGAAAGCAGGGUGAGUGUUAUGGCCUUAUCGACUUCAGGUAAAAUGACUGUUUUAACUUGUUAUUAUUUUUCCAUUCAGAGGUCAGGCAAUGUGCAGUAUUACCAGCAUAGACUGCAGCGUAAGCAAAUUGGUAUACAAAAAGGCUAUUAUCCACACUCACAAAGCAGAGGAAAGUAUAAGUCACUAAUACCAAGUGGACUUGUGAUCUCUGCAAAAACGAAACAAACAACAGUGCUUAAAAAAGAGUGGCAUAGGUAUGUACGUAUAAAGUACAUAGGAAGCAGAAAAUAUAUACCUGUUUAAAUAAAGGUGCAUGUGUUUAGAAGGCAAUGACCAUUUUUAAAAAAUCAUGUAUGAUCUUACUUGUUUUGCAAAGGAAUUAUGGGACCUGGAUACUGAAUGUUAAGCACCCAUCUCUACAUCACCUUAAAAUUUUUUCCUGCCUACGAGCGUCUCAAAAGUAAUUAGCUGCUGGAUUUUGAAGUCCAUCUGAUAUGUUCUUAGCAAAAGCAAAAUACUACUGUGGUUUUCCUUUUCCCUAGAAAAAAAGGAAAUUAGCGAGGCUUCAACUGAUCAAAAAUCCUUUCCUUGUCUUCUAGAUUUUUAUUUCUAAUUCUGAAGAACAAGUGAAAAAUUUAGCAUGCCUAUUUUAUUUUAUUAUGUUUUUUGGGGGGUGCACCCACAGCAUUUGGAAGUUCCAGGGUCAGGGAUCAAAUCCAAGCCACAGCUGCAACCUAUACCACAGCUUUAGCAACACUGGAUCCUUAACUCAUUGCUCCUGGCCAGGAAUGGAACUGGCACCUCUUUAGUGACCCAAGUGGCUGCAGGGACAAUGCUGGAUCCUUAACUUGCUAUAGCACAGUGUCAAAAGUUUGAGUUCUUUUCCUUCUAAACAAGUUUUCCCUGGUUUCAAAAUAAUUAUAAUGACCUAAGAUAAAAAAGAAAUAUAUUGGCAUUUCUUUGCUUUGAAUUUGCUCAGUUUAUUCAUUUCUUUAAACAAAUGUUUGCUAGUUGUGACAUUGUGCCAACCGUGAGAGCCCUUGCCUUCCUCUAGUGAGAGUCAGGCAAAUGGUGAGCUAAGUUGCCAUGAUAACACUAGAAGAAUGAAAGCUCCAUGGAGGCAAAGGAUCUUUAUCCAUUUCUGUUUAGCAGCAUAUCCUAACCACCCAAGCCAGGACCUGACACACAGCAGCCACCUGAGAGAUAUUUGUUGAAUGCUGCAUGGAUGUAACUAGGGCAUAAACACAGGUCUAAGAGGCUAUGGGUGGGGCAGACAGAGUUGGAUUAAAACCUGAAAAGUCUUAUAAGCCAUGCCAAGGAAUUUGAACUUGGAUCAAAAGUGGUUGAAUGAUAUUAAGCAUGCAGGGGCUUUCAAAAAAAAAAGGUAGCUAUAUCUUUAAAAAAGAUUCCUCUGGCUGAACUGUAGCUAAUGGAUUGAAGAAGAAGAUGGGAACUGAAGAGGCCAUUUAGGAGGCUGCACAAAAAUCCAAGCAACACAUAAAUGACAGUGGCCAAAAUUAAAAUUAAAGUAAGAGGACAGAAAUAAAUAGGCAUAUUUUAAGUGAUUUAAGGAGUUAAAAUGAUAAGACAGUGGCUGCUUAGAAUGAACUAGGGGGAAGUCACUAAAAAGACAGAAGAGACAAGGACAAGACUCUGCUUCCCAGCCUUGGACAACAGAGUGGCUAGAUGACAUUUCCCAAGAUGAGGAAAAUGUAUUUAGUAGGGAAGGUGGCAAGUUUAUUUUUGGAUAUGCUAAGUUGUUUAAAGCAUCAAUUUGCUAUAUCCUGGGUUUCAUACUGAUUCCCUUUUCCUACAUCCCCAAACUAGAUUUGCACACAUCCACUGCAAACAGACAAAACAAACUCAAGUACCUAUCAUAGUAGUUAUGAGUGUACUUUGCUUAUAUAUGACAUAAAUUGCAUAAAAAUAUUCUUCUUCCCUCAUAAAAGCAUUUUUGAAAUGCAAAGGUAUACAAAGAGUAAACUAUUUUUGAGUUAAUCAUUGUAACUAUCCUGAGUUGUGCUAGUCAGUGAAAAGCAUGAUACCACAAACCAAGUCACAAUAAAUGAUGUGCUAUGCCCUUAAAGGGUUAUUUAUAAGUGUAUCUGUAUAGGUAAAUAUACUUCAGUAUUUUUGCAUUUAUAGUUGUAUGACAUGCAGGGAUGGAAGUUAUAAGUUGAGUUGAAUGUAUAUGUCUACAUAUGUUUUUGAAUAUAAUAUCAUUUUAAAUUUUUUCUGGUUUUUGGUUCUACAAAAGAUAUUAAAAUAAAGAUACAAAACGUACUCAAAAUGAAAACAUACAGAGUUCCUGUCGUGGCUCAGCAGUAGCCAACCUGACUGAUAUCCACGAGGAGGCAGGUUUGAUCCCUGGAUUUGCUCAGUGGGUUAAGGAUCCAGCGCUUCUGUGAGCUGCGGUGUAGGUCACAGAUGCAGCUCGGAUCUGGCAUUGCUAUGGCUGUGGUGUAGGUUGGCAGCUGCAGCUCCAAUUAGGAACCUCCAUAUGCUUUGGAUGUGCCCCCCCCAAAAAAAGCAAACAUAUGUAAAUAGACUCUUACUUUAUCUUGGUAAUUAUGGGCAACAAUUAUUACUCAAUUGAUUAAAAUUAAUUGAGCUAGUAACAGAAAUACUUAAUAUGUCACCUGUAUUUCAAACUGUUUCCAUUUAUUGGAUAAUUAAUCAAUUUACUAAAUUCUUAUUCAAAUAUGUAUAUGUAAAGCUAAUACAGUUUCUGAAAUAUAGCCAAUCCAUGCUGACAUCAAUGUCCUGAUUGUUUUCUUUUAUUUCUAGAAAGAACACAAGUGUCAUGGCAAUGCCAAGGCCACAGGUAGAGUCCAGGGGGUAGUGGCAGUUCCUCAGCUCACUAGAGAUGCUGCCUUUGAGUGGCAUGUCAUUGUGGUGGCAGAUGAACCAUCUAGAAGGAAGCAUUUUGCUUUGAAGAAGAACUCUGAGGGUUUUCAAACUAAAUGUGAAGCUAUGACUUCCAGUGAGUCUGUGUCCAUUACUUUAAUGUGGACAUCAACAUUUUUUUCCUCACCUGACUUAAACAGGACUCUGGAAGACCUGAUGACUAUGUUUGUGUAUGUAAGAAGACUGAAGACAACCAAGCUGCACCAUUGUAUUUUAGAACAUUCUGUGAAAAGUAUAGCAUUAAUGUCCAUGUACUACCAGCAGGGUCUGCUACAAAGAAGAAAGGGGAAAUAAGUGUAUGGAAAAUGGAGAAGUGGCUGCUUCCACAUGAUAUAGGAAAGCCUAUUGAUGGCUUUAAAUUGUCUCAUAAAGGGAAACACAGAGACUAUACUAAUAAACUCAGUGCCUAAUGAGCAUAACUACAUCUUUUUGCAGCCUUGGGAUUUUCCACAGUUUAAUCUUUUGUGAAAUAAAAUGCACCAUAAUGGCUGUAACAUACCACCCUUGAACAACUUCAGUUUUGGAGAAAUACUUACUACAUUUGUCUUCAUAAAAAUAAUUCUGGACAUAUCUCUUUUACCUGAAUGCUAGUAUUUAAGGAAAGAGUCUGUUCGCAUUUUUAUGAAUAUGAAUAUGACAUGAAAUAUUGAUCUGUUUUAACUUAAUAAUGUAAAAGAUGGUGCUCUAAGGGCCCAGUAUCCUAUUUUUUCCUACUUAACCUGAAGCAAUAUUAAGAGGAAAUUCAACCUGACAUUCUUUAAUAUACUUAAAACAUAAGAUAAAGAAAGCAAUGAAAAUGUAGCAAAGAACAAGCUCCUCUCAUUCAGGAACAAAGGAGUAAACAGAGCCUGACAGAAUCUGGUGGUUGUUCUACAAGGACUAGUUUUAGGAGAAAAAAAAAUCAACCAGGUAAAAUGUAUUUUCUUACUGCAGCAUACCUGCUUGAUUGCUGACAAUCCGUAAUCUCUCGUAAGAUUAUCUGAAUAAAUUAUCCUCACUUUGUUUGAAAAAGAAGUUUAACAUAUAUUUAAACAGGGCAGUUUUGUGGUGGAGAGGAACUGUGCUGAGCUAUGCGUUAUACUAAUGGCAUUGGGUGUAGAAUGAGUCAUCAUGGUUUUUAUUUAUUCAUUCAUCCUUAGAUCCUUUUAAAAGUCUCCAAGGCCCUAAUGACCAUCAUCAUUAUCAUCAGUAAAAACUGCUUUCUGGUGAAAAGGCAAUAGGCAUUAAAUUUAGAGGCAGCAUUAAAUUAUCAGUAAAAAGGAAUUGAAAUAAUACUGCAUGCUUAUUCCAGGACACAAUACAUCGAAAGUUCACACAGCACAGUCAGGUACUCUUCUUUGGAAAAUCUGAGAUUAAGUUGUCCUCUUCUCCUUUACAAGGUAAUAUCAUUUGACUCAGGAGAAAAUAAAAUAUAGGACAAUUCCUUUCCAGCAUUGAAUUUUGGAAGUCAAAAGUAUCAGUCAUAAGAAGGUUCUUAAUUAAUAAUAAAAUUUUAAGAAUUAUCAGUAUCAAAACUUUAUUUUGAUCCUUUCCUCUACCCACUAUAGUUCCUCAGAUGUAUUAAAUAAACACUGUCUAGUGAGUGAAAAAAAAUCUGUGAGAAGUGUUUUGAACUAAACCUUAAGUACUUUCUGUCUCAGAAGUAUUUUAAAUAUUCCAUUGUCAUUCAGCAAACAUAAUAGAGGCUUUACUUCCCUGUGUAAUCUCCAGCAAAAGAACUAAAGCUAAUUUCAAAGGGUCAAAUCCCACUCGUUUGGGGAUGAAUUUAGUGUGUUAUCUGAAAACAGGGAAAGUUACUGCCUAGUGAUUAAUCCAGAGGGUCGUAAUGCUUGGCUGUCCCUAUCCAUCCCCUUCCUCAUAAUCCCACCACAAUUUGGGCAGUAGAUGCAGUUAUGAAGUUAUCAUGAAGAGAGCAGACCAGAGAAGAUGACUUCAUUCCAACAUUGUAGGUGAGUGCAAAGUGUUCUGAAUUUGGAGCAAGGCUGUUAGAAAUCAUUUUCUGCUGUAAAUGGACCAGUCCCUUAAACUCUCCAUCUAAGCAUAGGGUUGUCGGAUUUCUGAUUUUGAAGCAAGUGGACAGGUAUUUGAACUUUCUGCUUUAUAAAGACACACAAAACGCCAUCAGACAUAAAACCCCAUUAUAAAGCAAAAGAAAUAAUACCCUGUGAUGUAAAAUAUAACUUUUAGUACAGGCUAUUGGUAAAUUUUCCAUCUCUAUGAAUAUGGCUCUUUUUAAUUUGAUCAAACAGUUUUUUAAUCCAGAGUGACAGAACUGGCAAUUUCUUCAAAGCUGCAUUCAGUGUCCUUUUUUAUAAAAUGAAAAUGCUAACAAGGUGAACUGAGAUGACAUAUAUGAAAGUGUUCUUAUUCAUUGUUAAGUAUUGUACAAAUGCAAAUUGUCCUUGUGUUUGCUGCUAUUCUUCUGAGAUUCAUAAUAGCUCUAAAAAAGAUAUCACUGGGGUUUCACUCUGUAUCACAUUCUCUAAUAAACAGGAUUUUGUUUGCCACUAUAUUUAAAAGC